rnacentral:rRNA from 1 species
GAUGAACGCUGGCGGCGUGCCUAAUACAUGCAAGUCGAGCGAACAGACGAGGAGCUUGCUCCUCUGACGUUAGCGGCGGACGGGUGAGUAACACGUGGAUAACCUACCUAUAAGACUGGGAUAACUUCGGGAAACCGGAGCUAAUACCGGAUAACAUGUUGAACCGCAUGGUUUAACAGUGAAAGACGGUCUUGCUGUCACUUAUAGAUGGAUCCGCGCCGCAUUAGCUAGUUGGUAAGGUAACGGCUUACCAAGGCAACGAUGCGUAGCCGACCUGAGAGGGUGAUCGGCCACACUGGAACUGAGACACGGUCCAGACUCCUACGGGAGGCAGCAGUAGGGAAUCUUCCGCAAUGGGCGAAAGCCAGACGGAGCAACGCCGCGUGAGUGAAGAAGGUCUUCGGAUCGUAAAGCUCUGUUAUUAGGGAAGAACAAAUGUGUAAGUAACUAUGCACGUCUUGACGGUACCUAAUCAGAAAGCCACGGCUAACUACGUG